rnacentral:rRNA from 1 species
GCGUGCCAAAACAUGCAAGUCGAGCGGACAGAUGGGAGCUUGCUCCCUGAUGUUAGCGGCGGACGGGUGAGUAACACGUGGGUAACCUGCCUGUAAGACUGGGAUAACUCCGGGAAACCGGGGCUAAUACCGGAUGGUUGUUUGAACCGCAGGUUCAAACAUAAAAGGUGGCUUCGGCUACCACUUACAGAUGGACCCGCGGCGCAUAGCUAGUUGGUGAGGUAACGGCUCACCAAGGCAACGAUGCGUAGCCGACCUGAGAGGGUGAUCGGCCACACUGGGACUGAGACACGGCCCAGACUCCUACGGGAGGCAGCAGUAGGGAAUCUUCCGCAAUGGACGAAAGUCUGACGGAGCAACGCCGCGUGAGUGAUGAAGGUUUUCGGAUCGUAAAGCUCUGUUGUUAGGGAAGAACAAGUACCGUUCGAAUAGGGCGGUACCUUGACGGUACCUAACCAGAAAGCCACGGCUAACUACGUGCCAGCAGCCGCGGUAAUACGUAGGUGGCAAGCGUUGUCCGGAAUUAUUGGGCGUAAAGGGCUCGCAGGCGGUUUCUUAAGUCUGAUGUGAAAGCCCCCGGCUCAACCGGGGAGGGUCAUUGGAAACUGGGGAACUUGAGUGCAGAAGAGGAGAGUGGAAUUCCACGUGUAGCGGUGAAAUGCGUAGAGAUGUGGAGGAACACCAGUGGCGAAGGCGACUCUCUGGUCUGUAACUGACGCUGAGGAGCGAAAGCGUGGGGAGCGAACAGGAUUAGAUACCCUGGUAGUCCACGCCGUAAACGAUGAGUGCUAAGUGUUAGGGGUUUCCGCCCCUUAGUGCUGCAGCUAACGCAUUAAGCACUCCGCCUGGGGAGUACGGUCGCAAGACUGAAACUCAAAGGAAUUGACGGGGGCCCGCACAAGCGGUGGAGCAUGUGGUUUAAUUCGAAGCAACGCGAGAACCUUACCAGGUCUUGACAUCCUCUGACAAUCCUAGAGAUAGACGUCCCUUCGGGGGCAAGGUUGACAGUUGGUGCAUGGUUGUCGUCAGCUCGUGUCUGGAGAUGUUGGGUAGUCCCGCAACGGAGCCGCAUCUGGAUCUUAGUGGCAGGCAUUCAGUUGGGCACUCUA